AUGUAUUGUUGGAUUUGGUUUGCUAGUAUUUUGCUGAGGAUUUUUGCAUCUAUGUUCAUCAGUGAUAUUGGCCUAUAAUUUUCUUUUUUUGUGGUAUCUUUGCUUGGUUUUGGUAUCAAGGUGAUGGUGGCUUCAUAGAGUGAGUGUGGGAGUGUUCCUUCCUCUGCAAUUUUUUGGAAGAGUUUCAGAAGCGUAGGUGUUAACUCUUCUCUAAAUGUUUGAUAGAAUUCACCUGUGAAGCCAUCUGGUCCUGGACUUUUGUCUGUUGGAAGUUUUUUAAAUCACAGUUUCAAUUUCAGUACUUGUGACUGGUCUGUUCAUGUUUUCUAUUUCUUCCUGGUUCAGUCUUGGAAGGUUGUACCUUUCUAAGAAUUUGUCCAUUUCUUCCAGGUUGUCCAUUUUAUUGGCAUAGAGUUGCUUGUAGUAAUCUCUCAUGAUCCUUUGUAUUUCUGUAGUUUCAGUUGUAACUUCUUUUCAUUUCUAAUUUUACUGAUUUGAGCCCUCUCCCUUUGUUUAUGAGUCUGGCUAAAGGUUUAUCAAUUUCAUUUAUCUUUUUGAAGAACCAGCUUUUAGUUUCAUUGACUUUUCUAUUGUUUUCUUCUUCUUUAUUUCAUUUAUUUCUGCUCUGAUCUUCAUGGUUUCUUUCCUUCUACUAACUUUGGGUUCUGUUUGUUCUUCUUUCUCUAGUUGCUUUAGGUGUAAGGUUAGGUUGUUUGAGAUUUUUCUUGUUUCCUGAGGUAAGAUUUUAUUGCUAUAAACUUCCCUCUUAGAACUGCUUUUGCUACAUCCCAUAGGUUUUGUAGUGUCGUAUUUUCAUUGUCAUUUGUCUUUAGGUAUUUUUUGAUUUCCUCUUUGAUUUCUUCAGUGAUCCAUUGGUUGUUUAGUAACAUAUUGUUUAGCCUCCUCAUGUUGGUGUUUUUUACAGUUUUUUUCUUGUGAUUGAUUUCUAAUCUCAUAGUGUUGUGGUCGGGAAAGAUGCUUGAUAUGAUUUCAGUUUUCUUAAAUUUACUCAAGGCUUGCUGUGUGGCCCAGAAUGUGAUCUAUCCUGGAGAAUGUUCCAUGUGCACUUGAGAAGAAUGUGUAUUCUGCUGCUUUUGGAUGGAAUGUUCUAUAAAUAUCAAUUAAUCGCCUUGGUCUAAUGUGUCAUUUAAGGCCUGUGUUUCCUUAUUGAUUUUCUAUCUGGAUGAUCUGUCCAUUGAUGUAAGUGGGGUGUUAAAGUCCCCCAGUUUUAUUGUGUUACUGUUGAUUUCUCCUUUUAUGGCUGUUAGCAUUUGCCUUAUAUAUUGGGGUGCUCCUAUGCUGGGUGCAUAUAUAUAUUUACAAGUGUUAGAUCUUCUUGGAUUGAUCCCUUUAUCAUUAUGCAGUGUCCUUCUUUGUCUCUUAUAAAUCUUCAUUUUAAAGUCUAUUUUGUCUGAUAUGAGUAUUGCUACUCCAGCUUUCUUUUGAUCUCCAUUUGCAUGGAAUACCUUUAUCCAUCCCCUCACUUUCAGUCUGUAUAUGCCCCUAGAUCUAAAGUGGGUCUCUUGUGGACAGCAUAUAUACAGGUCUUGUUUUCAUGUCCAUUCAGCCAGCCUGUGUCUUUUGGUUGGAGCAUUUAAUCCAUUUUCCUUUAAAGUAAUUAUCAUAUGUAUGUUCUUAUUGCCAUUUUGUUAAUUGUUUUGGAUUUGUUUUUGUAGGUCUUUUUUUUCCCUUCCUCUUUUUUUCUCUUGUGAUUUGAUGACUAUCUUUUGUGUUGUGUUUGGAUUGCUUUUUCUUUUUUGUAUGUGUAUCUAUUGUAGGCUUUUGGUUUGCUGUUCCCAUGAGGUUUUAAUAUAGCAGUCUGUAUAUAAACAAGAUUGUUUUAAGUUGCUCGUCUCUUAAUAUCAAAUGCAUUUCCAGUACCCUGCAUUUGUACUCUCCUCAGGAUUGCUGGUUUUGAUAAAUUUGUGUGUGAAUGAUUUCCUACGUUUACUGUAUGUUUGCCUUUAUCAGUGAGCUUUCCCAUUCGUAAUUUUCUUGUUCCUAGUUGUGGCCUUUUCUUUUCUGCCUAGAGAAGUUCCUUUAGCAUUUGUUGUAAAGCUGGUUUGGUGGUGCUGAAUUCUCUUAGCUUUUGAUUGUCUGUAAAGCUUUUCAUUUCUCUGUCAAAUCUGAACAAGAGCCUUGCUGGGUAGAGUAGUCUUGGUUGUAGGUUUUUCCCUUGUAUCACUUAAAUAUAUAGUGCUACUCCCUUCUGGCCUGCAGAGUUUCUGCUGAAAAAAUCAGCUGAUAACCUUAUGGGGAUUCCCUUGUUUCUUAUUUGUUGCUUUUCCCUUGUUGCUUUUAACAUUUUCUCUUUGUCUUUAAUUUUUGUCAGUUUUACUAAUAUAUGUGUCUCGACAUGUUCCUCCUUGGGUUUAUCCUGUAUGGGACUCUGCACUUCGUGGACUUGAGUGAGUGUUCCCUUUCCAAUGUUAGGGAAGUUUUUAGUUAUAAUCUCUUCAAAGAUUUUCUCAGGUUCUUUCUCUCUCUCUUCUCUUCUGGGACCCCUGUAAUGGGAAUGUCGGUGUGUUUAAUGUUGUCCCAGAAGUCUCUUAGACUGUCCUCAUUUCUUUUCAUUCUUCUUUCUUUAUACUGUUCUGUGGCAGUGAUUCCCACCACUCUUUCAGCUCACUUAUUUGUUCUUCUGUCUCAUUUAUUCUGCUAUUGAUUCAUUCUAGUGUAUUUUUCAUUUCAAUUAUUGUAUUGUUCAUCUGUUUGUUCUUUAAAUCUUCUAGCUCUUUGUUAAACAUUUCUUGUAUCUUCUUGGUCUGUGCCUCCAUUCUUUUCCAAGAUCUUGGGUCAUCUUUACUAUCAUUACCUUGGAUUGUUUUUCAAAUAGAUUGCCUAUCAUUGCCUAUCUCCAAUUCACUUAGUUGUUCUUCCGGGGUUUUAUCUUGUUCGUUUGUCUGGAAUAUGUUUCUUUGCCAUUUCAUUUUGUCUAACUUUCUGUGUUUUGGGUCUUCUUUCCUCAGGCUGCAGGAUUGUAGUUCCUCUUGCUUCUGGUGUCUGCCCUCGAGUGGGUGAGAUUGAUUUAGGGGCUUGUGCAGGCUUCCUGGUAGGAGGGACUGGCGCCUGCCCACUGGUGCAUGGAGGUGGGUCUUGUCCCUCUGGUGGGCAGAAAUGUGUCAAGGAGUGUGUUUAGAGGUGGCUGUGAGCUCAGUACAACUUUAGGCUGCCUGUCUGCUGAUGGGUGGGGCUAUGUCUCCCCCCCACGAGUGCUGGUUGUUUGGCCUGAGGCCUCCCAGCACUAGAGCCUGCAGGCUGUAGGGUGGGGCCACUUCUUGGUGCCAAAAUGGUGACCUCUGGGAGAGCUCACGCCAGUCAAUAUUCCCUGGGUCCUUCACCACAGGUGUCCUUGCACAGAGAGAGCCACAAUCAACCCCCACCUCUUCAGGAGACCCUCCAAUACCCGCAGGUAGGUCUAGCCCAGGCUCCUAUGAAGUCACUGCUUUGUGCUGGGUCCCAGUGCACGUGAAAACUUGUGUGCGCCCUCCAAGAGUGGUGGAGUCUCUGUUUCCCUCAUUCCUGUGGAGCUCCUGCACUCAAGCCUCACUGGCCUUCAAAGCUAAAUGCUCUAGGGACUCCUCCUUCUGAUGCCGGACCCUCAGGCUGGGGAGCCUGACGUGGGGCUCAGAACUCUCACUCCUGUGGGAGAACCUCUGUGAUAUAAUUAUUUUCCAGUUUGUGGGUCACUUACCCAGUGGGUAUGGGGUUUGAUUAUAUGGGGUGUGCAGGUGCGGUGACCCAUGUGUGCUCCCAGUAGGGCGGAGGCAGCAUCAGCCCCUGCUCACGGGUCUUCCAGUGGCAGCAGUGGCCCCCAUGCCCCCAGGAUAGUGGGGGCAGCAAUUGGCAUCUGCUCCUGUGUUUCUUAGUGGUGGUGGCAGCCCAUGCACUCCCGGAACAGCAGGGGCAGCGACUGGCACCUGCUUCCAUGUCUCCCAUUCUUUGUUUUCUUGUGCAAAAUUGUCUUGGCUAUUCCUGGACUGUUACUGUUCUAGAUAAAAUUUUAAUAUCAUUGUCAGGUUCCACAAAAAGUUGCUUUUGCCUUCAUUUCUUGAGUGAAGUUUAGCUUUUAAAGCUUAAUAUUACUAUUGUAGAAUCACUAGCUUCUUAUAAGCAUAAUUUCUUUCUUUUCCAGCAUAGAUGUUCUUCUCUUCUUCAAUAGCUUCACACUUGGAAGUGUUCCAACAGAAUGAGAACCUGACUAUCCUAAGUGGCUGAUAAAGGCUUACUGCAGUUACAGGAAUGCUGAUUGUUCCAUAACAUAUGUAACUAAUCUGGGUACAUUUUGUAGACUGGUGAUAAAACACGUCACAUCUUAAAUCUCUGAAUGAUGUGCUUACGUGUGUAUGUGUAUUUAUGUGUGUACACACCUUCACAUAAAAAGCAGAAACAAAACCAUCUUGGGCCUUUGAUUUGAAGCACUCUGCACUUCCCAGGUGAUUCUGCUUCUGCUUUACUGAGCCAGCUACUAAGGGAACCUCAAUGCGAUGAUGAAUAGACUUGCCUCAAAAAGGAGAAUGAAGGGGAGCAGAAUAUGCCAUCCCAAAAUGGGCCUCUUUGGCAUAAGGAUUAUUCUGAGCGGAUUAUUUUUAAGAAACAGACAGAAGAAAAGCUCUAAAAAUCUAGUAGAAGUUACUCAUUUGUAAGAGACAUUUACAUUUGUAAGAGAAAUUUUUAUUUGUAAGUGAGUCUUCUAAUCUCUGCCAGGGAGAGAAGGAUGACUGUAAAUCACAAGAAACUUUUAUCAGUGGAGAAGAUACCCAACUUAAAUCUGCAUAACAACCUUACUCUGUUUACUGUGUUUUUCCUAGUAACUUCCCAUAACUGGCCUUCUCCACCUCCCAACAUUUUUCUUGUGUCUUUAGCUGAAAAAGGAAUUUAAGAUGAUGGCUUGGGCUAUUUGGGGGAGUUAGUUUUCCAGGGUCUCCCCCCAUGUAUACAGGAGGUAUACAUGUUAUUCGUUUUCUAUUUAUUUUUCUCCUGUUAAUCUGUCUUUUAUUACAGGGGUGGGGCCUCAGCCAACAACCUAGAAUGGUAGAGGGAAAAUUUUUUUUCCUCACUGACAGUUUGGCGACCCAUGAUGGGAUCUGCUGAAACACUGUACUUCUUCUGGAGCCUGAAGAUAGGAACCUGGAAAACUGGCAGAAGCCAGCAAAGGACAUGCCUCUUAUUAAAUACCCAAUUGCUUGCACCGUAUAAGGCUAACUUUGGGACCCCCACCUGCAACACCAGCUCCUGAAAUGAGACACAACUGUUUAACUGAGCUGACCUAUCCUCGAGAUUAAGAGACAAAAGCACCAUUUUCACUGCUCUGAAGAAAGAAGAACACAGAAACCAGAUGUCCUACAUGUGUGUUUCACUCAGUAAUUCCCAGGGUGACAGUGGAAGGAGCUGCUUUUGAAGUGUCGCCUUGCUGGCUUCACACUUGGAACCCCGGCCGCCUGGGUGACAGUCGCUGUCGAGCCCAGCAAGCCCAUCUGGCUGGAAUCCAGGGCCCCGUGGGCAGCCCCAUUCUCCACCAGGUCCUCACAGGGGGAGCCCUACACCAUUAACCGCCCAGCACUGCAGGGCCCAGAGCCUUCUCACUGACUAGGGGAGACUUCCCCUAGUCAGAAGCCAGAGCUCCUGUUCUUUCAUCAGAUACUUAAUCAUGUUCGUUAAAACCUUUAUUCAUUAACAUAUUCUAGAUAAUAAAAGCCUAAUUUAAUGCUAUUUCAAGUGUCUACUAUCAUAUGCAGUACCUCAGAAGCUUUGU